rnacentral:rRNA from 1 species
ACAUGAGAGAUGGGACCCGCGCGGGCGCAUUAGGCUAGUUGGUGAGGUAACGGCUCACCAAGGCGACGAUGCGUAGGCCGACCUGAGAGGGUGAUCGGCCACACUGGGACUGAGACACGGCCCAGACUCCUACGGGAGGCAGCAGUAGGGAAUCUUCCGCAAUGGACGAAAGUCUGACGGAGCAACGCCGCGUGAGUGAUGAAGGUUUUCGGAUCGUAAAAACUCUGUUGUUAGGGAAGAACAAGUACCGUUCGAAUAGGGCGGUACCUUGACGGUACCUAACCAGAAAGCCACGGCUAACUACGUGCCAGCAGCCGCGGUAAUACGUAGGUGGCAAGCGUUGUCCGGAAUUAUUGGGCGUAAAGCGCGCGCAGGCGGUUUCUUAAGUCUGAUGUGAAAGCCCCCGGCUCAACCGGGGAGGGUCAUUGGAAACUGGGGAACUUGAGUGCAGAAGAGGAGAGUGGAAUUCCACGUGUAGCGGUGAAAUGCGUAGAGAUGUGGAGGAACACCAGUGGCGAAGGCGACUCUCUGGUCUGUAACUGACGCUGAGGCGCGAAAGCGUGGGGAGCGAACAGGAUUAGAUACCCUGGUAGUCCACGCCGUAAACGAUGAGUGCUAAGUGUUAGAGGGUUUCCGCCCUUUAGUGCUGCAGCAAACGCAUUAAGCACUCCGCCUGGGGAGUACGGUCGCAAGACUGAAACUCAAAGGAAUUGACGGGGGCCCGCACAAGCGGUGGAGCAUGUGGUUUAAUUCGAAGCAACGCGAAGAACCUUACCAGGUCUUGACAUCCUCUGACAACCCUAGAGAUAGGGCUUCCCCUUUCGGGGGCAGAGUGACAGGUGGUGCAUGGUUGUCGUCAGCUCGUGUCGUGAGAUGUUGGGUUAAGUCCCGCAACGAGCGCAACCCUUGAUCUUAGUUGCCAGCAUUCAGUUGGGCACUCUAAGGUGACUGCCCGUGACAAACCGGAGGAAGGUGGGGAUGACGUCAAAUCAUCAUGCCACUUAUGACCUGGCCUACACACGUGCUACAAUGGGCAGAACAAAGGGCAGCGAAGCCGCGAGGCUAAGCCAAUCCC